UACGUAGGGGGCGAGCGUUGUCCGGAAUUAUUGGGCGUAAAGAGCUCGUAGGCGGUUUGUCGCGUCGAAUGUGAAAACCCGGGGCUCAACUCCGGGCCUGCAUUCGAUACGGGCAGACUAGAGUUCGGUAGGGGAGACUGGAAUUCCUGGUGUAGCGGUGAAAUGCGCAGAUAUCAGGAGGAACACCGGUGGCGAAGGCGGGUCUCUGGGCCGAUACUGACGUGAGGAGCGAAAGCGUGGGGAGCGAACAGG
rnacentral:rRNA from 1 species